rnacentral:rRNA from 1 species
GAGAGAGACAUGCGCGCAUAUCAAUAAGCGGAGGAAAAGAAACUAACAAGGAUUCCCUUAGUAACGGCGAGUGAAGCGGGAAGAGCUCAAAUUUGAAAUCUUCAAGGUUUUACCUUGACGAAUUGUAGUUUAAAGAAGUGUUUUCUGCUGAAGUUUUGGUAAAAGUUCUUUGGAAUAGGACAUCAUAGAGGGUGAGAAUCCCGUAUUUGACCAUUAUUUUCAGCUUUGUGAUACACUUUCAAAGAGUCGGAUUGUUUGGGAAUGCAGUCCAAAAUGGGUGGUAAAUUUCAUCUAAAGCUAAAUAUUGGCGAGAGACCGAUAGCGAACAAGUACCGUGAGGGAAAGAUGAAAAGAACUUUGAAAAGAGAGUUAAACAGUACGUGAAAUUGUCAAAAGGGAAGCGUUUGACACCAGUGUUGUUUUCUCGAAAAUCAAUUAAAAAUGGCUCGAUUUUGUAUUGCUUGAGACCUUAAAAGCUCACUGUACAUUUUUCGUGUCUUUUUUAAUGCACUUUUCGUUUAACAAGUCAACAUCAGUUUCUUUUGUUGUAAAAGGGUCAUUGGAAGGUGGCUUUCUUUUCGGAGAAAGUGUUUAUAGCCUUUGGCCUCUGCAAUCGGAAGAGACUGAGGUCUGCAGCGUAGACUCUUCGGGGUUAGAUACAUUUGUGCUAAGUUAUAGCUUUUUAUAGACAACUUGUUGACUAUAAUUAGUCUUGUAGCUUACUCGCUUAUGCUACUUUACCUACGCUUAGGAUGUUGAGUCGUAGAGCACGCAG